CUGCCAUUGGGGGAAGGUCUCUCAUUGGAUCUCCUUCUUUUGAGGAUCUUCUACAUAAGCACAGAUCUUCAGAGAUGGUUGCUGCUGGUAUCAUGUGUCUAAGAAAUGUGUACAGUAUGAACAACGCCGACGGACGCAUGGAUGAAAAAAAAAACCUUUUGGGAAAAAUAGAUCUUCUCAUGCAAUUAUGUACAGUCUCACUGUGUAAAUUUCAAGGCAAGAUUCUUUUUUUUUUAUUUUUUCUGCAAAACAUGGACACCGUUUUACCGAGAGAAUGGUUUUGCUUUGACUUGGUUUAGUGCAUUUCUUGUUACCUCCUGCAUUUUGCAUUAUUUUGCUCUAUUCUUUAAUCUUGUGUGCAAACGACAUGCCAGUUUAAAAACAAAACUAACUUAUGUAGAGAAAGUAAUUCUGGAUUGUAAAAACAAUGGUAAACAGAAAGCUAAUGAAAUCCAUACCAAAAUUACACCGUCUGAUUCAAGUAAAAAAAUUACUUACACUAGGAAUAAAAAAAGACAAACACAGCUCAUGAAUAUAAAAGAAAUGUCUGCUGAGUGUUUUAAUUUAGAUGUUUCAGAAUGCUGCUGUACGUUUUGUGGGGAAUCUGGGGAGAUGACUUCAUAGCAGAAGGCGUUAGCGUGGCCUGUAUGGAUUUCAGUGGCGAACCGACGGGGCUAUGAAACUGAGGAAUACCUAUAGCCUCAAGCUGCUUGUUGAAGAAGAGUUCUCCACUGUUACUGAGAAAGCUCUCUCCUCUCUCCUUCUCCCCAAGCUUCCCCUCUUCUACUGGCUCAGGUUCUAGCAUUUCAGCAUCUUCUUUCUUACUAAAGAAUUUGUCCAAAUAACUGGUGUAAGUAUUUUCUUUUUCAACUUGUUCGUCUUUCCUCACCUCACAACAGAACUGGUCUAUGAGGAAGCACUCCUCCCCGUUACUUACAAACUGACUCUCCCAAGAAGUUUGGUACAGAGCUCCUAACUGGGCCAAGUUGGCCAUUCCCUUCUCCUGCUUCUCUCUGCUUACCGACUUCGAUAUUAAUCCUUUCGACUCCAUCUGAGACACCGAGCUAUUCAAGUCAUUUAAUUUAUCAACAUCAGUAGGCUCGUGCUGUAAACUAAGCUGAAUGGUUUCCGCUAUAAACGAAUCAAAGUCAAAUCCUUGAUUCUUCUCCCUUUCUUUUUCAACAAGUUGCUGUGAUGCUUCCUCAAGCGCUAUCUGGGCUUUCACCAAUCCAUUCUUUUCACAUUUAGACUUGCCUUUCUUAUCAGACUUUUCUUUGCUCUGUUCCUUCCAGUUUGAAAGAUCUAUAAUAAGCUUGGGCUCAUAGUAAUGGUUAACUUCACUGUCUCGCCAAACUAAAUUAUCUAGGUAUGAAGAUGACCUCAUUUUGUAAUUACAAGUGUGACUACAUUCCAGAUCACAGUAUUUGUUUUCAUGGUGAUCUGAAUACUGCCAGCAAGGCUCAGUAGAGAAGUGGGUGUCAAAAGCAGGAUCCUCCAGAUACUUUUC
rnacentral:lncRNA from 1 species